rnacentral:rRNA from 1 species
UACGUAGGGGGCGAGCGUUGUCCGGAAUCAUUGGGCGUAAAGCGCGUGUAGGCGGCCCGGUAAGUCCGCUGUGAAAGUCCAGGGCUCAACCCUGGGAUGCCGGUGGAUACUGUCGGGCUCGAGUCCGGAAGAGGCGAGUGGAAUUCCUGGUGUAGCGGUGAAAUGCGCAGAUAUCAGGAGGAACACCAAUGGCGAAGGCAGCUCGCUGGGACGUGACUGACGCUGAGGAGCGAAAGCGUGGGUAGCAAACAGG